rnacentral:lncRNA from 1 species
UUUUUUAUAUUAUGAAAAUAGGAUAAUCAAUAACAUCUUUAGUAAUUUAUAAUUAGAGUUACUUGGUUUGGGGUGCACAUGUUACGAAGUCAAAAGCAUAGAAGUGUAUACAGAAAAAAGCAAACUUCUUUCUAACCUCUUCUCCAGCUGCAUCUGUCUCACCUCAUCCUCUCCAGGGAUUUCUGUUAUCAUCAGUUUCUUGCAUAUCUUCAGAGGUAUUCUACAGAAUCCAGGCAUGUUGCUGGAUCUGGAUCCCAAACCUAGGCAUGUUGCUGGAUCUGGAUCCCAAACCUAGAAGUUACGCAGUUAUCCUACCACGAGCACCAGCAUGAAGACAAGAUCAAGGACGGAUGUACAGAAAGAUUUAGGAAAACUACAUCCCAAAUUGACCCUUGAAUAAUGUAACUGUGCUCACAAAUCAACCAAUAUGGGGUCUGCUUUUCCUCUGGAUGUCAUAUGCUGUGAAAUAAUCUAUGUCCUAGAUGUUUAAGAUAUCAAGCAAAAUCUUCUGUCCAACUUUAACAUGGAGCUCUAGAAGUCAGGAGAUUUUAUAAACAGUUCUUAACAAGGAUGAAGAAUACAAGAUAUUGAAAUAAAGCUGAAGGUGCCUGCUUCUGAACCUAAUGGUUUGAAGUUUCUUCACAUUUCCAUCUUCGGGAUGAAUGUAAAUCCAAGCAGAACCAAUCCAGUCCUUGGGAAGCCAACAGCAAGUUCACCACACUUCUAAAUGUUGCUGAAUGGUUCCUAUUUCAAAGACUGUCUUCAGACCUACCUAAAGGUGGCUGUGAGGGCGCCAGUCAUGUGAAGUGCAGCAUCUUGAUUCCUAGAAGGACAGUUGGUUAGAAAAAAGAUUGGUAGCCAAGAGAAAGACAUUCUUUCCUUUAUCUGCCUCUGAAGCAACUGGGAGGGGUUUCUACAAACUUCAUCCUCUGGACAGACAAGAAGGGCGACAAGCACAAUCAUGACUACUCCGUCGACAGAAGAGAAAGCAGUGCUGACAAUGUACAUUCCCUGGAUGUGACAAAGGGCCAAUAUAGAGUAUAUUGAGAAUAAUGUGCAUAAUCCUAUUGGACAAAAGUCUGACCAGUAGCAUCAUAUACCCUUAGUCCUAAGAGGACAAUUUGGGAGUUAGGAGGUCAUAAUGCAGUGAAGAAUAUGACUGGGACUGGUUGUCUAUAAUCCUAUCAUUAAGGGAAAGUGACAGAAGAGACAAUGCAACAUUGGAAGAAGAUAUUCAAUCUCCCAUGUGAAAAAGAAUCCUCACAAAAAGUUUUGGGAUGAGAAGACCUAGUGUACAGAAGUACAAAGUGAAGAGAACGCAGUGACACAACCAAAUGAGCAGAAACAGGAGUACACAGUGAUUUUAUCCAGAGACAGGUGAAGCACAUUUGGAUUGUUUAAUCCUAUGAGCAUGGGUUGAGUAGUUUGAAGGUCUCAGACACAAUGCAGGGUAUGGGAAACAUAGGAUUAACUUAGACAUGGUCCUCGGAAUCAAAUAUCUUAAAUUCUAGUGUAAGUGUAUUAAGCGUAUUAUAAAUUAAAAUGUGCUCUAGUUGCUAUGUUAAACGUGUGUAUAGAAUACAUUAGGUUAACCACAGAAAGAGCGGUCAAGAGUGGGUACCUAUAAAAACUCCCUCAAUGUGUACUGUGUAAUAUAAAAUGACAAUAUAUGCUGUUUAAAAUUAAAGGAUGAGAAAAUGAAGUAAAAUUAUGAGAGUCCUAUAUGCCAGUAAAAAAAUACUGUGGCACCAGGAAGGGCAGUGUGCAAAAUAUCAGGGCAUUAAGGACUAGUGCCAGAACCAUGGCAAUGUAGCAUAGGAGCUUGGAGAAGGAGACGCACACACCAAACGCCUCCUAGAACUCAGUUUUGCCAUUUACUAUGUUGGCAAACUGAGUCAACAUUUUGUGCCAUAGUUUCCUCUUUGGUAUAAUGUUUUUUGUUUUGUUUUUGGUAUAGUGUUUUUUUAAAGAUUAAAUGAUUUGAUACGUGUAUGUGCUUAUGCAAGAGUGGUACUGGUUAAUCAGAGACUGUUUUCUCAAAGAUAAUAGUCACUCUUAGACUCAGACACGGAGAAAAGAAACUAGGAAACCAGAUAAAUAUUCCAUUCUUUCUGGUGUGGCAAUUUUAUUCAAAUACUGGGUAAUAAGGAGUGACAAAGAACCUGCUUUUCUUUUUAUUAAAACAAACUGCAGGGGAUCCCUGGGUGGCACAGCGGUUUGGCGCCUGCCUUUGGCCCAGGGCGCAAUCC